rnacentral:rRNA from 1 species
UACGGAGGGGGCUAGCGUUGUUCGGAAUUACUGGGCGUAAAGCGCACGUAGGCGGCUUUGUAAGUUAGAGGUGAAAGCCCAGGGCUCAACCCUGGAAUUGCCUUUAAGACUGCAUCGCUAGAAUUGUGGAGAGGUAAGUGGAAUUCCGAGUGUAGAGGUGAAAUUCGUAGAUAUUCGGAAGAACACCAGUGGCGAAGGCGACUUACUGGACACAUAUUGACGCUGAGGUGCGAAAGCGUGGGGAGCAAAGCA